rnacentral:lncRNA from 1 species
CCAUGCAUCCACUCAUCCACCCACCCACCUACCCAUCCAUCCAUCCAUCCAUCUACCCAUCCACCCACCUGUCCAUUCAUCCAUCCAUCAUCCAUCCAUACAUCCACCCAUCCACCCAGGCAUCCACCCAUCCAUCCAUCCACCAGUCCAUCCAUCCAUCCACCCACCCAUUCAUCCAUUGUCCAUCCAUCCAUCCAUCCAUCCAUGCAUCCAUCCACCCACCCAUCAUCCACCCAUCCAUCCAUCCACCCAUCCAUCAUCCACCCAUGCAUUAUCCUCUGUCCAACUGUCCACUCCUGCUGUUUGUCUGAUGUCUGCUUUGAGGGCCCUCCUGGCCGUGGACCCAGGGGCUGCCUGUCUGGUCCCUGACUUGGUAGGGCUCAUGACAGGCUGGGAGAACAGAGGUAGAUGGAGAGCAUGGGCCCUCAUGCCCGGGGAGAUGUGCUGUAACGGGGGUACCCAGUGUGGGUGGAAUGUGACCUCCUGUGCUUCCUGGGGUGCUGGAGGAUGUGGUCAGAGGUUCAGAGUGGGGACAAGGUGAGAGACCCCAGAGCCGCUGGGGCAGGUCUCAAACACAGCUAAGGAACCUGCAGCCUGUAACAAGCGUCAAAUCCCGCACCACGACACUGGCC